UUCUUACAAAUGAUUUAUUCCAGAUGAAGCCUAUAUGAUGAUAAGGGAGAAGAAUUUUCUUUCUUGACAAGCAAAAGAUGCAAUUAACUUGUUCUACUUAGACACAAAAUUUAUUGAAAAGAGCUCCUGAAGUAAAGGGGCCAAAUACCCUGGUACACAGAUUGUAAACAAAGGAUAUUCUUGAAAUCCAAGGGACAAAAAAAGAAAAAGGCCACCCAAAAGAAAAUUUGAGAUCCAAUAUUAUAUACAGAAGAAAAGAAAUGUCUCUAUAGAGAAAACCAAUGAACAAGAAUCCAAAAAAACACUGUUUUAAUUUCUUUACACCAUAAUCCACUCAUCUUAAAUACCUGGCUGUUUUGUUCAACCAACAGACACACAUGACAAUUGACAAACUCAUUGCCACACCAGAUCUAUUCCUCCUUAAACACCUUGGCCAACAUUCAAAAAGCUCUAACUCUUACCAUUAGACAACAUAUACCAUCCAAAAAGAGCACAAAUAUAUUCUCUUUUGCAAUUGAAAAUUAGUGUAAAUGAACCAGAGUCUGCAUGAUUGAUACAUAUAACACCAACUGGAUGGCCUACAAUCCCUUUCAUUAAAGCAUCCGAUUAUGAUUAGAUCUACAGGCAGCAAUUCUACCAAAAAAUUGCCACCUCUAAAAGAAGCAUAAGUGCACAAAACUAAUUCCCAACAAAAUCUUUGAUCCAUUUCUCCUUUCAAGGUCAGAUAGAACUUCUCAUCUCAUCUUCCUAAUAGUCUGUUUGGCAUUAAGGUUCAAAACUGCUUUUUGAAAAAGAACCUUUUAGAUGUUGCAAAAAGCAGUUUAAAACAGUCCAUUAGCUAUUUCGGAGGUUUUAUAAAUACAAAAGUCAAAUUUACCUUUAAACAAUUUUUAAUGUCCUCUAAUCAGCAUAUUCAAGAUGGUAAUUUUCACAAUAGCAAUGCCAAAAGACCCUAACUCUCACUCCCAUUAAUUAAUCCUCGUACAACCAAUCACAUGAAUCUUCCAAAGUUUUUAAGAUGAUAAUAGGAAAAAUAGUUACAGUAGCAAUUACAAGGAACUUGAAGUAGAAAUGGGCUGUAGCGGUUCCAUCUUGAGCUACACACCAAUUACAUUUGAGACUAAGUUUUCAAUAGUUCAACAAAUUUAUCUUUAUAAGAGCAAUAGCUACUUUUGUAAGGUGGUUGACAGCAUUUAUAAAGUGCAAUAGCUACUAUCCAACACAGGAUUCACAAACAUAUUGAUUAUCUUUGUAUCUUGAUUAGGGGCAUGUAAAAUUUAUUCCCCUGCAGUUAGGGCACUUAACUGUGCCACACUGUUGCAUAGGACACAUAUCUCAAGGAUCUAUCCUGCAAGAAAUUAACUGUCAAAAACUCAAGGUAUGAGCAUCUAUCUCAGCACUCCAAUUGAUCAAUAAUUUUAUUGCUUAAAACCCAUUUGACCUUCAGAAAACAGGCCAAAUGAUAAAUAUAUUAUUUAUAUUUAGUCCUGAAUUCUUUUUGUGAUCUCUUUUAACUAUUUUUAACUGUUUUCAUGUUUUUUUUUUCUUUUUAAUCAAACUUCAGUUACAAACUUACAAUAGACUUCCUUUUAUCCCUUAUAUAAAUUGUCAUUCCAAUAACAUCCUAUUUGCAGACUAUCACAUUCCAUCAAUAAACACUAGCAAACAGCCCAAUAAACCAGAAUAUCUCCAAUUCAAGGACCAAAUAAGUAAAUAUAAACCUCAAAACAUUUGGGAGAAUCUUUUCAUAAGUUGGCUGUGAAGGAGAAACAUCUAUAAUAUGAACUGACCUCUCUAUGUCUGGCAUUUUCUGCAUCCUCAGUGUCAUUCUGUUCCUUGGCUAGUUUUACAAUGUCAUCAAGGAAUUUCUGCUCAAUUCCUUCAAAAGUCUGCAACAAAGGUUUUUCUUCAAAGCCAUUUUGCAUGUCUCCUUCAUGUGGUCCAAAUCUAGGAUCAUUAACGCCUUGCUUCUCUAAUGCUAGUUUUGGCUCUGGUCCUGGCCCUGGCCCCUUUCCCUGAAAAUAGGAUCUUGAUGCAUCAACCCCUUGACCUUCACUGAAACUUUGUGAUGCCAUCGGAUUUGAAACUUUUGAUUCAUCUCUUUCCCAUCUCCAUUGUCCUUCUGCUUUUAAAGUUGCAUAUGGGCGCUCUCUCUCAGGAGUGAAGGCCUCUAGUCGUCCUUGGAAAUGAUCAGUAUCAGACCUGUUUUCCAUCCUCUGAGCAGAAAUACGCUGCAUCUGAGCACCAGCAUAUGCAUUGGCACCAGGAUCAGCAUACUGUACCUGCCGCCUCAUUUUUGCUUAAAAAGAAGAGCUUGUCUUGUGAAUGAAACACGCAUCACAGCCAGUAAAAUCAAAGCAAGUAAUUUAAAUCACAAACAACCAUCAAAUUUGGCGAGAGACAGCUAUACCUAAUGUGGAAACACAAAAUUUAAAAUUAAAUGCCCAUUUGGCCAUUUGGGUUAGCAGGUAUCUUGAAAUUGAAUCUCCUUAGGCUCUAAAAUUGAACUAAAAUUUUUCAAACAAGCACUUUCCACCAUUAAUCUUGCAAAUGAGAAAAUAAAUAACCUACGGAUUAUAAAAAAUAUCAAAUCCAUCAUUUUUAACAUUAAAAAGCACAAAACUAUUGAAAAAAAAAUUAGGACUAAGAGAAAUCAAUGUGAAUUUCCUUACCGCAAUUUGAUUUCUUAUUUUGGUUAUUGUCUUCUUCUUCUCCCUUUUGGAGCUCGAGAUCAAACCAGCAACACGAGAGACUACUACUUAUCGGUCGUUUUUUCGAACCAAAAUGAUAAAAGGACGGAAAUGGGUCAGGCUCUCACUAUA
rnacentral:misc_RNA from 1 species